rnacentral:lncRNA from 1 species
CAUUCGUCCAAAUCAAGGACUACCAUUAAGAAACGUGCUCACUCAUACACUCGCACGAGCAAUCAUCGACGCGUGCCAGAACGAGUUCACGGAUGAAAAAUUUAUCCUGAGAAUCAACCCGGGAUCCAACAUAGCCAUCCUAUCGACCUAUGCACUAUGAAGAGGUCGCCGAAAUAGCACGACACAUCCACACCUUAACACUUAGCGGCCGAAGUCACGCAGUGCGCGCAUACACCGCGCACGGAGAAGGCACCCUCAGGGGAGUGGUACAUGGAAUACCCUUGCAAACAACCACCGAAACCCUACCUCAGAGUGGGAACACAAGGGGUGGAAAUUCUUACAGCCAGGAUGAUCGGCGCCACCCAAAGUGCAGCGCUGACCUUCACUGGGCCCCUUCUACCACGAUUUGUGUACUACUACGGAGGUGAACUCCGCUGCUACCCAUUUAGACCGACGCUCCAGGUCUGCAAGAUCUGCAGAGAAAAGGGCCACCGUACCGACGUGUGCCCAAACCCGGACAGACCCAUCUGCAGACUGUGCGGACUGCUUGACCC